rnacentral:rRNA from 1 species
GACGAACGCUGGCGGCGUGCCUAAUACAUGCAAGUAGAACGCACAGUUUAUACCGUAGCUUGCUACACCAUAGACUGUGAGUUGCGAACGGGUGAGUAACGCGUAGGUAACCUGCCUGGUAGCGGGGGAUAACUAUUGGAAACGAUAGCUAAUACCGCAUAAUAUUAAUUAUUGCAUGAUAAUUGAUUGAAAGGUGCAAAUGCAUCACUACCAGAUGGACCUGCGUUGUAUUAGCUAGUAGGUGAGGUAACGGCUCACCUAGGCGACGAUACAUAGCCGACCUGAGAGGGUGAUCGGCCACACUGGGACUGAGACACGGCCCAGACUCCUACGGGAGGCAGCAGUAGGGAAUCUUCGGCAAUGGACGAAAGUCUGACCGAGCAACGCCGCGUGAGUGAAGAAGGUUUUCGGAUCGUAAAGCUCUGUUGUAAGAGAAGAACGGGUGUGAGAGUGGAAAGUUCACACUGUGACGGUAUCUUACCAGAAAGGGACGGCUAACUACGUGCCAGCAGCCGCGGUAAUACGUAGGUCCCGAGCGUUGUCCGGAUUUAUUGGGCGUAAAGCGAGCGCAGGCGGUUAGAUAAGUCUGAAGUUAAAGGCUGUGGCUUAACCAUAGUACGCUUUGGAAACUGUUUAACUUGAGUGCAGAAGGGGAGAGUGGAAUUCCAUGUGUAGCGGUGAAAUGCGUAGAUAUAUGGAGGAACACCGGUGGCGAAAGCGGCUCUCUGGUCUGUAACUGACGCUGAGGCUCGAAAGCGUGGGGACCUAACAGGAUUAUAUUCCCUUGUUGUCCAAGGGCGAAUUUC